CCUACGGGAGGCAGCAGUGGGGAAUAUUGCACAAUGGGCGCAAGCCUGAUGCAGCGACGCCGCGUGAGGGAUGAAGGCCUUCGGGUUGUAAACCUCUUUCGUCAGGGAACAAGGCAUUGCCUUUUUUGGUGGUGUUGAGGGUACCUGGAUAAGAAGCGCCGGCUAACUACGUGCCAGCAGCCGCGGUAAUACGUAGGGCGCAAGCGUUGUCCGGAAUUAUUGGGCGUAAAGAGCUCGUAGGCGGCUGGUCGCGUCUGUCGUGAAAACUUCCGGCUCAACCGGGGGCUUGCGGUGGGUACGGGCCGGCUAGAGUGCGGUAGGGGUAACUGGAACUCCUGGUGUAGCGGUGGAAUGCGCAGAUAUCAGGAAGAACACCGAUGGCGAAGGCAGGUUACUGGGCCGUUACUGACGCUGAGGAGCGAAA
rnacentral:rRNA from 1 species